rnacentral:rRNA from 1 species
UACGUAGGGUGCAAGCGUUGUCCGGAAUUAUUGGGCGUAAAGAGCUCGUAGGCGGUCUGCCACGUCGGAUGUGAAAACUCGGGGCUCAACCCCGAGCCUGCAUUCGAUACGGGCAGACUUGAGUUCGGCAGGGGAGACUGGAAUUCCUGGUGUAGCGGUGAAAUGCGCAGAUAUCAGGAGGAACACCGGUGGCGAAGGCGGGUCUCUGGGCCGAUACUGACGCUGAGGAGCGAAAGCGUGGGGAGCGAACAGG